rnacentral:rRNA from 1 species
GACGAACGCUGGCGGCGUGCUUAACACAUGCAAGUCGAACGGAGGAUUUAUUUCGGUAGAUCCUUAGUGGCGAACGGGUGAGUAACGCGUGGGCAAUCUGCCCUUCAGAUGGGGACAACAUCCCGAAAGGGGUGCUAAUACCGAAUACGAUCCUUCCACCGCAUGGAGGAAGGAUGAAAGAUGGCCUCUAUUUAUAAGCUAUCGCUGAAGGAUGAGCCUGCGUCUGAUUAGCUAGUUGGUGGGGUAACGGCCUACCAAGGCGAUGAUCAGUAGCCGGUCUGAGAGGAUGAACGGCCACAUUGGGACUGAGACACGGCCCAAACUCCUACGGGAGGCAGCAGUGGGGAAUAUUCCGCAAUGGACGAAAGUCUGACGGAGCAACGCCGCGUGAGUGAUGAAGGUUUUCGGACUGUAAAGCUCUGUUGUUUAGGACGAAAGUGCCUGCUGCGAACAGUUGCAGGUAUUGACGGUACUGAACGAGGAAGCCACGGCUAAC